CGCUGGUCCCCUUGCGGCGGCGAACCGCGAACUCCGUCAGGCCCGGAAGGGAGCAGCGGUAACGGCGAUGCCGGGUGCCGGGGUGUGGCUGGCGCGG
rnacentral:SRP_RNA from 2 species